rnacentral:rRNA from 1 species
GAUGAACGCUGGCGGCGUGCCUAAUACAUGCAAGUCGAGCGAACGGACGAGAAGCUUGCUUCUCUGAUGUUAGCGGCGGACGGGUGGGUAACACGUGGAUAACCUACCUAUAAGACUGGGAUAACUUCGGGAAACCGGAGCUAAUACCGGAUAAUAUUUUGAACCGCAUGGUUCAAAAGUGAAAGACGGUCUUUCUGUCACUUAUAGAUCGAUCCGCCCUGCAUUAGCUAGUUGGUAAGGUAACGGCUUACCAAGGCAACGAUGCAGAGCCGACCUGAGAGGGUGAUCGGCCACACUGGAACUGAGAAACGGUCCAGACUCCUACGGGAGGCAGCAGUAGGGAAUCUUCCGCAAUGGGCGAAAGCCUGACGGAGCAACGCCGCGUGAGUGAUGAAGGUCUUCGGAUCGUAAAACUCUGUUAUUAGGGAAGAACAUAUGUGUAAGUAACUGUGCACAUCUUGACGGUACCUAAUCAGAAAGCCACGGCUAACUACGUG